UACGUAGGGGGCAAGCGUUGCCCGGAAUCAUUGGGCGUAAAGCGCGCGUAGGCGGCCCUGUAAGUCCGCUGUAAAAGUCAAAGGCUCAACCUUUGAAAGCCGGUGGAUACUGCAGGGCUAGAGUCCGGAAGAGGCGAGUGGAAUUCCUGGUGUAGCGGUGGAAUGCGCAGAUAUCAGGAGGAACACCGGUGGCGAAGGCGGAUUCCUGGACCAGUUCUGACACUGAGGAGCGAAAGCUAGGGGAGCAAACAGG
rnacentral:rRNA from 1 species